UACAGAGGGGGCAAGCGUUGUUCGGAAUUACUGGGCGUAAAGGGCGCGUAGGCGGCCUUCUAAGUCGGACGUGAAAUCCCUCGGCUCAACCGGGGAACUGCGUCCGAUACUGGCGGGCUUGAAUUCGGGAGAGGGAUGUGGAAUUCCAGGUGUAGCGGUGAAAUGCGUAGAUAUCUGGAGGAACACCGGUGGCGAAGGCGGCAUCCUGGACCGACAUUGACGCUGAGGCGCGAAAGCCAGGGGAGCAAACGGG
rnacentral:rRNA from 1 species